rnacentral:lncRNA from 1 species
GGACCGUGUGGAGAGUGCGGGCGCUGGACAGCAGCUCCGGCCCCUCACCGACGCGCAGCCCGCGCCUGGGCCGACCUGUUGACUGAAAAUCAGCCGGCGCUUGGCCAGAUGCGUCGAUGGAGGCCCGCAGCCCAGCGACGACGUGGUAGUCAUGGCUGAAGCGGCGCCUGCCCCGAAAUCACACUGUGGACCGUGGUGCCUGCUGUUCAGGCCUUGGAGAAGAAAAGUGGAUUCUUGCCUGGCCCGCUUGCUGACUCUGGAGGGAUGCUCAGGGACAGCAGAGAAGAAGCUGGCUGACUGUGAGAAGACAGCUGUGGAGUUCAGCAGCCAGCUGGAGGGCAAGUUGGCCGUGCUGGGGACCCUGCCUCAGGAGUCUAGGCUGCUGCAUGAAGAACCUCAUGGGCAACUGGAACUUCUGGGUCCAGCGGCUUCCCCCUGGCAACAAGGGGGAGGUCCCCAAGAGUGGGCCAAGCUGGAGGACUGGCAGAAGAGGCUCGACAAGCAUGUGAUGGGGGCAGCUAUGAGAUGCUCGUUUCCCUGGGUAUUUCUCUGAGUCCAGAGCAGGCCCCAAGUCCAGCUAGCCCUGCCCAGGAGGAACUGAAUCAAAGGCAGACACCUGAGCAGCAGCAAGAGGAAGCAACCAUGAUUCCACCUGAGCCAGGCACUGGGAUUCCAGCAAGCACCAGCCCUUUAUCACUUAAACAGGAGGAAGAAUCUGCAGAGGGAGGAGAGUUGCCACCCUCCCCUUCCACAGAUAGCCUGCUUUCUGUGGAGCCAGGGGAAGCCAUGAGGUCCCCUUGGAACCAGCAAUGAUUCCUAUGACCAUCAAGACAGAAGCCCCAUCUGAGGAUCAACCUGAGCAGAACCUUCUGCAGUCCUGCAGCCAGUCCGUAUUUAGAGUCCACAGAAGGACCAGGAUUAAGACCAGGGGCCACAGAUGGCAUCACACGGAUUGGGGAACCUCAGGCAGCAGAGGAUAUGGGAGAGCCACCCUGUAUCCUUCCUCAGCCACAGAAGCAGGCAUUCCUGUGCCCUGACUGUGGGCAGAGCUUCUGCUUGAAGAUUAAUCUGACAAUCCAUUAGCAGACCCAUGUAGAAAAGAAACACAAGGAGGCUUGGAGUGGCUUGCCUAUUAGGUCAGGGAAAAGCCACUCCACACUGGAACCAGAGAAAGUGGUGGUGCCAGGCCCUGUCAUCCACUGGCCACCUGAGGAGCCCACAAGCCACCGGUCUCCAACAAGCCAUGCCUUCAUGAGACAAAGGCCAGCAACUACAGUUUACCACUGUAGUGAAUGUCUUCACUCCUUUCAGCAACAGAAGAGCCUGGUAUUACACCAGCAUCAGCACACAGGCAAGAGGCAGAGCUGGCCUGCCUGUCCCUACUGUGGCAAGGCCUCCCGCCGGCCCUCAGACCUCUUUUGUCACCAGUGUAUCCAUACUGGUGAGCGUUCCUAUCAGUGCCCCCAGUGUGGCAAGGAGCCACCACCUGGCUGUCCACAUGCAGACUCAUUCCUGAGGCUAAACAAUCCUGCAUUUCCUCUUGCUUUCUGUCCUCCAGGGAAGUCCAGCCCUGCAAGGGCCCAGCUCUGAACAGGACAGGACCUGCACUGUCUCAGGGCCUUUCCCUUGUGCCUGCCAAGUGGUGGAAGUUCCUUCACUUUCCAGCUGAGUUGGUACUUUAGGGGCCCUUCAAAAGCACAAGCUCCAGACCAGGAAUUUGAGGUGAUAGUGUCAUGCCUCAAAGUCAUGAGAGCGGGUGCUUCAUGUGCCUCUUUGUCACAGCACCUUGGGGACAGCCUUGUGGAGCUUCUGGAGCUGGGUGAUGGAUUCCAAUUCUGAUAGUUUGCUCUCUUGUUUGGCACUCAGACACCAGAGCACAUGAAGGCUCCCAGGUGCCUUCAUCCCUGGCUGUGCUAUUGCUAAAGUCCUGCAGACUCUGUAGCCACUCAGAAGUCCUGCACAGACGAGGCAGAGGGUGACACUGCCGUCAUUCCCAGGGUAGGGGUAUGACUGGCAAGACUGUGGCAUGCAGCCAUGGUUCUGGACGUUACUUGCCUGCACACCCAACCGUUGUUUAGGCCCUGCAAGCAAGACAGCAGUUGUCAGUAAGCGCUCAGACUGAACGUGGACAGUAUAGCUGCCCCAAACUUAAUCCUCCGCUGCAAGCACUCAUGUUGCUGUUCUGGGGGUUCCUAGGCCUCUCUUCUAAUGCUUUAGAUGUUCUCUGGAAAACAAGUAUUCAUAUUUGAAGCACAAAUCCAAGUGCUGGGGUGGGGGAAGAGGCGCUGUAUAAUCCUGGCUCGCCUUGGGCUUGCAGUGAAUUUUUUUCCCCUACCUCUAUCUACCUACUAGGAUUUCCUUGCUUGUGCCAUUAUGCACAACUGGGCUUACUGCAUUUAACCUGAAAUUCAAUAGGACAGGUUAAAGAGUAUUUUGAGUUAAGAAUGAACAAAGGCUGCAUGGUUGCCUGAGCUCAAAGACGUUGGAUCCCAGAUUCUGAUGACUUAUUUUGUAAAACAAAGAUAUGGUUGGGUUGGUUACAAGGCCCUAAGAACCAUGGAGGUGGAAAUAUUAACUUAAUCGGUGCUCUAUAAAUACACUGGAAAAUGUA